GACGAACGCUGGCGGCGUGCUUAACACAUGCAAGUCGACAAGAGUGGCGAACGGGUGAGUAACGCGUGAGUAACUGCCCCCCUCUCUGGGAUAACAGUUGGAAACGGCUGCUAAUACCGGAUAGUGGGGGAUGACUCGCGUCCUAUCAGCUUGUUGGUGGGGUAGUGGCCUAACAAGGCGACGACGGGUAGCCGGACUGAGAGGGCGGCCGGCCACAUUGGGAUGGAGAACGGGCCAAAAUCCUAAGGGAGGGAGCAGGGGGGAAUAUUGCAGAAAGGGGGAAACGCUGAUGCAGCAAGGCGCGUGCGGGAUGACGGCCUUCGGGUUGGAAAGCUCUGGUAAGCGGGACGGAGAAUAGGGCGAGGAGUUGACGGUACCGGAAUAGAAAGCCACGGCUAACUACGUGCCAGCAGCCGCGGUAAUAC
rnacentral:rRNA from 1 species